AAAACGAAACAAGUUAAACAAGAGAGGAAUGUUUAGUUUCCAGGGGACAAGGACCCAGCUGAAGAGGUGCAAUAACAACUAAGGCCUGCUUUUGUCAUCAGGAUCAAGUUAGGUACAGAGAACCUGACUAAGGAUUCUGGCCUGCUGGCUGGGGAGCCCUCCUCCUUGAAGUAUGGCAGAAAGGGUGACCACAGUUCUAAAUAACUAUGUCACUUUUAAAGAUACUGAGCAUGCUCACUGAGGAUGGACUCUUCAGAGAUUUUAGCUGCUAAAAAUUAUAGAAGUCUCUGAGUACAUGCAAACUUGCAAUUUUCCAAAGACUUAUAGCUUGGCCAAUUUGGGCAGAUUUUCACAAGGGACAGCAAAAAGCACACCCCUGCGAUAAAGGCCACUCCCUGGGGAAUUUCAACUUUCUGUUCCAAGGCAUGGGAUCACUA